rnacentral:rRNA from 1 species
UACGUAGGGUGCAAGCGUUGUCCGGAAUUAUUGGGCGUAAAGAGCUCGUAGGCGGUUUGUCACGUCGGAUGUGAAAACCCGAGGCUUAACCUCGGGCCUGCAUUCGAUACGGGCUGACUAGAGUUCGGUAGGGGAGACUGGAAUUCCUGGUGUAGCGGUGAAAUGCGCAGAUAUCAGGAGGAACACCGGUGGCGAAGGCGGCUCUCUGGGCAUUACCUGACGCUGAGGAGCGAAAGUGUGGGGAGCGAACAGG